GCGAUGCGUCCUGGUCGGA
rnacentral:snRNA from 1 species